rnacentral:rRNA from 1 species
GACGAACGCUGGCGGCGUGCCUAAUACAUGCAAGUCGAACGAGAGCGACUGGUGCUUGCACUGGUCAAUCUAGUGGCGAACGGGUGAGUAACACGUGGGUAACCUGCCCAUCAGAGGGGGAUAACAUCCGGAAACGGAUGCUAAAACCGCAUAGGUCUUCGAGCUGCAUGGCUUGAAGAGGAAAAGAGGCGCAAGCUUCUGCUGAUGGAUGGACCCGCGGUGCAUUAGCUAGUUGGUGAGGUAACGGCUCACCAAGGCCGUGAUGCAUAGCCGACCUGAGAGGGUGAUCGGCCACAUUGGGACUGAGACACGGCCCAAACUCCUACGGGAGGCAGCAGUAGGGAAUCUUCCGCAAUGGACGCAAGUCUGACGGAGCAACGCCGCGUGAGUGAAGAAGGUUUUCGGAUCGUAAAACUCUGUUGUUAGAGAAGAACAAGUGCUAGAGUAACUGCUAGCGCCUUGAC